rnacentral:rRNA from 1 species
UACGGAGGAUGCAAGCGUUAUCCGGAAUGAUUGGGCGUAAAGCGUCCGCAGGUGGCGAUGUAAGUCUGCUGUUAAAGAGUCUAGCUCAACUAGAUAAGAGCAGUGGAAACUACAUAGCUAGAGUACGUUCGGGGCAGAGGGAAUUCCUGGUGUAGCGGUGAAAUGCGUAGAGAUCAGGAAGAACACCGGUGGCGAAGGCGCUCUGCUAGGCCGUAACUGACACUGAGGGACGAGAGCUAGGGGAGCGAAUGGG